rnacentral:rRNA from 1 species
GGAACGACAUUAUUGAUUCUUCGGAGGAUUUAAUGGGCGUCGAGCGGCGGACGGGUGAGUAAUGCCUAGGAAAUUGCCUUGAUGUGGGGGAUAACCAUUGGAAACGAUGGCUAAUACCGCAUAAUGCCUACGGGCCAAAGAGGGGGACCUUCGGACCUCUCGCGUCAAGAUAUGCCUAGGUGGGAUUAGCUAGUUGGUGAGGUAAUGGCUCACCAAGGCGACGAUCCCUAGCUGGUCUGAGAGGAUGAUCAGCCACACUGGAACUGAGACACGGUCCAGACUCCUACGGGAGGCAGCAGUGGGGAAUAUUGCACAAUGGGCGAAAGCCUGAUGCAGCCAUGCCGCGUGUAUGAAGAAGGCCUUCGGGUUGUAAAGUACUUUCAGUUGUGAGGAAGGGGGUGUUGUUAAUAGCGACAUCUCUUGACGUUAGCAACAGAAGAAGCACCGGCUAACUCCGUGCCAGCAGCCGCGGUAAUACGGAGGGUGCGAGCGUUAAUCGGAAUUACUGGGCGUAAAGCGCAUGCAGGUGGUUCAUUAAGUCAGAUGUGAAAGCCCGGGGCUCAACCUCGGAACUGCAUUUGAAACUGGUGAACUAGAGUGCUGUAGAGGGGGGUAGAAUUUCAGGUGUAGCGGUGAAAUGCGUAGAGAUCUGAAGGAAUACCAGUGGCGAAGGCGGCCCCCUGGACAGACACUGACACUCAGAUGCGAAAGCGUGGGGAGCAAACAGGAUUAGAUACCCUGGUAGUCCACGCCGUAAACGAUGUCUACUUGGAGGUUGUGGCCUUGAGCCGUGGCUUUCGGAGCUAACGCGUUAAGUAGACCGCCUGGGGAGUACGGUCGCAAGAUUAAAACUCAAAUGAAUUGACGGGGGCCCGCACAAGCGGUGGAGCAUGUGGUUUAAUUCGAUGCAACGCGAAGAACCUUACCUACUCUUGACAUCCAGAGAAGCCAGUGGAGACACAGGUGUGCCUUCGGGAGCUCUGAGACAGGUGCUGCAUGGCUGUCGUCAGCUCGUGUUGUGAAAUGUUGGGUUAAGUCCCGCAACGAGCGCAACCCUUAUCCUUGUUUGCCAGCGAGUAAUGUCGGGAACUCCAGGGAGACUGCCGGUGAUAAACCGGAAGGAAGGUGGGGACGACGUCAAGUCAUCAUGGCCCUUA